ACUCUUCAACCCAUCUAUUCCUUGUGAAUAGCGUGGUGUUUGGAUUUUGAAUGUUGCUGGCUCAUUUUGAGCGGAGCUCGUUCGUAAUACAUUAGCAACUCAAUUUCGUUUUAUUCGGAUUGACUCGGCGUAAUAGACUAUUCGCUGAGGACACUUUUUGUGGCCGAAUUUCGAAGUAGUAGCUUCUAACUUUUGAAGUCAAAUUCUAAG
rnacentral:misc_RNA from 1 species